CUACGGAUGGUGCGAGCGUUGUUCGGAAUUACUGGGCGUAAAGGGCGCGUAGGCGGCGAUGUAAGUCAAAUGUGAAAGUCCUCGGCUUAACCGGGGAAGUGCAUCUGAAACUGCAUUGCUUGAGUAUGGGAGAGGAAAGUGGAAUUCCCGGUGUAGAGGUGAAAUUCGUAGAGAUCGGGAGGAAUACCGGUGGCGAAGGCGACUUUCUGGACCAAUACUGACGCUGAGGCGCGAAAGCGUGGGGAGCAAACAGGAUUAGAAACCCCAGUAGUCC
rnacentral:rRNA from 1 species